GAUGAACGCUGUCAGAAUGCUUAACACAUGCAAGUCUUUGGCGAAGCUGUGCUUGCACAGCCUAGCCAAGGCGGACGGGUGAGUAACGCGUAAGGAACUUGCCCUGCAGUCAGGGAUAACAGACGGAAACGACUGAUAAGACCUGGUAAAGUCAGGCGGACUCAUGUCCAGCCUGAUGAAAAGAGAUGCUGCAGGAGAGCCUUGCGUCCUAUUAGCUUGUUGGUGGGGUAACGGCCCACCAAGGCGAUGAUAGGUAGCCGGCCUGAGAGGGUGGACGGCCACAAGGGGACUGAGAUACGGCCCUUACUCCUACGGGAGGCAGCAGUGGGGAAUAUUGGACAAUGGGGGCAACCCUGAUCCAGCAAUUCUGUGUGCACGAUGAAGGUUUUCGGAUCGUAAAGUGCUUUCAGCAGGGAAGAAAAAAAUGACGGUACCUGCAGAAGAAGCGACGGCUAAAUACGUG
rnacentral:rRNA from 1 species